GUUAAGCGACUAAGCGUACACGGUGGAUGCCCUGGCAGUCAGAGGCGAUGAAGGACGUGCUAAUCUGCGAUAAGCGUCGGUAAGGUGAUAUGAACCGUUAUAACCGGCGAUUUCCGAAUGGGGAAACCCAGUGUGUUUCGACACACUAUCAUUAACUGAAUCCAUAGGUUAAUGAGGCGAACCGGGGGAACUGAAACAUCUAAGUACCCCGAGGAAAAGAAAUCAACCGAGAUUCCCCCAGUAGCGGCGAGCGAACGGGGAGCAGCCCAGAGCCUGAAUCAGUGUGUGUGUUAGUGGAAGCGUCUGGAAAGGCGCGCGAUACAGGGUGACAGCCCCGUACACAAAAAUGCACAUGCUGUGAGCUCGAUGAGUAGGGCGGGACACGUGGUAUCCUGUCUGAAUAUGGGGGGACCAUCCUCCAAGGCUAAAUACUCCUGACUGACCGAUAGUGAACCAGUACCGUGAGGGAAAGGCGAAAAGAACCCCGGCGAGGGGAGUGAAAAAGAACCUGAAACCGUGUACGUACAAGCAGUGGGAGCACGCUUAGGCGUGUGACUGCGUACCUUUUGUAUAAUGGGUCAGCGACUUAUAUUCUGUAGCAAGGUUAACCGAAUAGGGGAGCCGAAGGGAAACCGAGUCUUAACUGGGCGUUAAGUUGCAGGGUAUAGACCCGAAACCCGGUGAUCUAGCCAUGGGCAGGUUGAAGGUUGGGUAACACUAACUGGAGGACCGAACCGACUAAUGUUGAAAAAUUAGCGGAUGACUUGUGGCUGGGGGUGAAAGGCCAAUCAAACCGGGAGAUAGCUGGUUCUCCCCGAAAGCUAUUUAGGUAGCGCCUCGUGAAUUCAUCUCCGGGGGUAGAGCACUGUUUCGGCAAGGGGGUCAUCCCGACUUACCAACCCGAUGCAAACUGCGAAUACCGGAGAAUGUUAUCACGGGAGACACACGGCGGGUGCUAACGUCCGUCGUGAAGAGGGAAACAACCCAGACCGCCAGCUAAGGUCCCAAAGUCAUGGUUAAGUGGGAAACGAUGUGGGAAGGCCCAGACAGCCAGGAUGUUGGCUUAGAAGCAGCCAUCAUUUAAAGAAAGCGUAAUAGCUCACUGGUCGAGUCGGCCUGCGCGGAAGAUGUAACGGGGCUAAACCAUGCACCGAAGCUGCGGCAGCGACGCUGAUGCGUUGUUGGGUAGGGGAGCGUUCUGUAAGCCUGCGAAGGUGUGCUGUGAGGCAUGCUGGAGGUAUCAGAAGUGCGAAUGCUGACAUAAGUAACGAUAAAGCGGGUGAAAAGCCCGCUCGCCGGAAGACCAAGGGUUCCUGUCCAACGUUAAUCGGGGCAGGGUGAGUCGACCCCUAAGGCGAGGCCGAAAGGCGUAGUCGAUGGGAAACAGGUUAAUAUUCCUGUACUUGGUGUUACUGCGAAGGGGGGACGGAGAAGGCUAUGUUGGCCGGGCGACGGUUGUCCCGGUUUAAGCGUGUAGGCUGGUUUUCCAGGCAAAUCCGGAAAAUCAAGGCUGAGGCGUGAUGACGAGGCACUACGGUGCUGAAGCAACAAAUGCCCUGCUUCCAGGAAAAGCCUCUAAGCAUCAGGUAACAUCAAAUCGUACCCCAAACCGACACAGGUGGUCAGGUAGAGAAUACCAAGGCGCUUGAGAGAACUCGGGUGAAGGAACUAGGCAAAAUGGUGCCGUAACUUCGGGAGAAGGCACGCUGAUAUGUAGGUGAAGUCCCUUGCGGAUGGAGCUGAAAUCAGUCGAAGAUACCAGCUGGCUGCAACUGUUUAUUAAAAACACAGCACUGUGCAAACACGAAAGUGGACGUAUACGGUGUGACGCCUGCCCGGUGCCGGAAGGUUAAUUGAUGGGGUCAGCGCAAGCGAAGCUCUUGAUCGAAGCCCCGGUAAACGGCGGCCGUAACUAUAACGGUCCUAAGGUAGCGAAAUUCCUUGUCGGGUAAGUUCCGACCUGCACGAAUGGCGUAAUGAUGGCCAGGCUGUCUCCACCCGAGACUCAGUGAAAUUGAACUCGCUGUGAAGAUGCAGUGUACCCGCGGCAAGACGGAAAGACCCCGUGAACCUUUACUAUAGCUUGACACUGAACAUUGAGCCUUGAUGUGUAGGAUAGGUGGGAGGCUUGGAAGUGUGGACGCCAGUCUGCAUGGAGCCGACCUUGAAAUACCACCCUUUAAUGUUUGAUGUUCUAACGUUGACCCGUAAUCCGGGUUGCGGACAGUGUGUGGUGGGUAGUUUGACUGGGGCGGUCUCCUCCUAAAGAGUAACGGAGGAGCACGAAGGUUGGCUAAUCCUGGUCGGACAUCAGGAGGUUAGUGCAAUGGCAUAAGCCAGCUUGACUGCGAGCGUGACGGCGCGAGCAGGUGCGAAAGCAGGUCAUAGUGAUCCGGUGGUUCUGAAUGGAAGGGCCAUCGCUCAACGGAUAAAAGGUACUCCGGGGAUAACAGGCUGAUACCGCCCAAGAGUUCAUAUCGACGGCGGUGUUUGGCACCUCGAUGUCGGCUCAUCACAUCCUGGGGCUGAAGUAGGUCCCAAGGGUAUGGCUGUUCGCCAUUUAAAGUGGUACGCGAGCUGGGUUUAGAACGUCGUGAGACAGUUCGGUCCCUAUCUGCCGUGGGCGCUGGAGAACUGAGGGGGGCUGCUCCUAGUACGAGAGGACCGGAGUGGACGCAUCACUGGUGUUCGGGUUGUCAUGCCAAUGGCACUGCCCGGUAGCUAAAUGCGGAAGAGAUAAGUGCUGAAAGCAUCUAAGCACGAAACUUGCCCCGAGAUGAGUUCUCCCUGACUCCUUGAGAGUCCUGAAGGAACGUUGAAG
rnacentral:rRNA from 1 species